GACGAACGCUGGCGGCGUGCUUAACACAUGCAAGUCGAACGGAAAUGCCCUGCUUGUGUGGGGUGCUCGAGUGGCCAACUGGUGAGUAACAAGUGAGUAGCCUGCCCUUGACUUUGGGAUAACUUCAGGAAACUGGGGCUAAUACCGGGUAGGAGCUCCCGCUGCAUGGUGGGGGUUGGAAUGUUUCGGCGGUUGGGGAUGGACUGGCGGCUGAUCAGCUUGUUGGUGGGGUAGUGGCUUAGCAAGGCUUUGACGGGUAGCCUGCCUGACAGGGUGGCAGGACACGUCAGGACUGAGAUGCGGCCCAGACCAAACCGGGAGGGGGGGGUGGAGUAGAGAGCACAGUGGGAGGAGGCAAAAUGCGACAACGCCGCGUGCGGGAUAACAGGCUUCGGUUCGUAACCCACAUUCGCCUGUGACGAAGCGUGAGUGACGGUAAUAGGUAAAGAAGCACCGGCUAACUACGUG
rnacentral:rRNA from 1 species